GCCGCGGUGGUGAAAUUGGUAUACACGCAGGACUUAAAAUCCUGUGGCUUUACGGCCAUGCCGGUUCAAGUCCGGCUCCGGGCA
rnacentral:tRNA from 1 species